rnacentral:rRNA from 1 species
CGCCUGUUUAUCAAAAACAUCUCUUCUCGUUAGUUUUUGAAGUAUGGCCUGCCCACUGACCUUGAAUGUUGAAGGGCCGCGGUAUUUUGACCGUGCAAAGGUAGCAUAGUCAUUAGUUCUUUAAUUGUGAUCUGGUAUGAAUGGCUUGACGAGGCAUGGGCUGUCUUAAUUUUGAAUUGUUUAUUGAAUUUGGUCUUUGAGUUAAAAUUCUUAGAUGUUUUUAUGGGACGAGAAGACCCUAUAGAGUUUGACAUUUAUUAUGGUCUCUUUCUGUUUGUGAGGGUUCACUAGGGCUGUUUAAUAUGUUUUGUUGGGGUGAUGGGAGGGAUAUUAUUUAACCCCUCCUUUGUGUUGUUAUAUUUAUUUAUAUUUGCUUGAUCCAUUUAUUUUGAUUGUAAGAUUAAAUUACCUUAGGGAUAACAGCGUAA